rnacentral:lncRNA from 1 species
CUGGGUUCCCUGCUCAGGGUACCCCAAGGCUGAAAUCGGGAUGUCCGCUGGGCUUUAUUCUCUUCAGGAACUUGGAGUCCUCUUUCCUGCUUACCUGAUUCUGUCAGAAUUCCGUGUCUUGAAGUCAUACGAUUGAGGUCCUCAUUUCCUUUCUGGCUGUCAGGCGGAGAAUGCUAUUAAUUCUUUCAGGCUCCAGCAGUUCCUGGCUACGUGGCUUCCUCCAUCUUCAAAGUUAGCGCUUGAAGAAAAGAUAAAGGUCAGCAGCCGCUUAAGGAGAAGAACAGAAGUCACAAGUUAGAAAUAAACAAAGGAAGUUCCUUUGCAGUACAGCUAUUUAAAACAUAUGCCAAUAAAAUGUUCAAAGGAUUUCUACAGAGCUCCGAAGAUAAACAUAUUUUUUUUGUCUCGAAAAAGUUCACUUACCUGAAGCUUUAAACUAAAAUAUGUAACAUGGCUCUGUAGAAAAAAAAUAUUAAAGACAGUGAUUUGGCAUUUUAUUCAUUUACUAGGGCUUUUAGUGCACUUGACCAUGAAGGUUUACAUCCCAACUCCACCUUCUAUUAGCUGUGGGGCUUGGGGCAAAUCCUUUAAUAUUCUCUUGUCCCAGUUACCUUAUUUGAAAAAGGAAAAUAAUUAUCAUAACUUAUGGAAGUGUUAAAUGAAUUAAAACACACAAAAUACUAAAAUAGUGUCAGCCAUGCAGUAAAUCCUCAUUAAAUGCCUGUUAUCCUUACCAAUUUUAUUAUUAUCAUCAUCAUCAUUUUAAUGAUGGUGGGUCAUUGAAAAGUGUAUUAGCCAGAGUUUCCCAGAGAAAUCGACCCAAUAGGAUGUGUGUGUAUAUAUAGAGAGAGAUUUGUUUUAAUGAAUUGGCUCAUAUGAUUAUGGAGACUGGCAAAUUCAAAAUUUGUAGUUCAAGUCUGAAGGCUAUCAGCUACAGACUCAGAAAAGAACAGAUGUUGCAGUUCAAGUCC